rnacentral:rRNA from 1 species
GGACUUCGGUCUGGUGGCGAGUGGCGAACGGGUGAGUAAUGUAUCGGAACGUACCUUUCAGUGGGGGAUAACGUAGCGAAAGUUACGCUAAUACCGCAUAUUCUGUGAGCAGGAAAGCAGGGGAUCGCAAGACCUUGCGCUGAUUGAGCGGCCGAUAUCAGAUUAGCUAGUUGGUGGGGUAAAGGCCUACCAAGGCUACGAUCUGUAGCGGGUCUGAGAGGAUGAUCCGCCACACUGGAACUGAGACACGGUCCAGACUCCUACGGGAGGCAGCAGUGGGGAAUUUUGGACAAUGGGGGCAACCCUGAUCCAGCCAUGCCGCGUGAGUGAAGAAGGCCUUCGGGUUGUAAAGCUCUUUCAGCCGGGAAGAAAUCGCAUCAGCUAAUACCUGGUGUGGAUGACGGUACCGGAAUAAGAAGCACCGGCUAACUACGUGCCAGCAGCCGCGGUAAUACGUAGGGUGCGAGCGUUAAUCGGAAUUACUGGGCGUAAAGCGUGCGCAGGCGGUUGUGUAAGACAGGCGUGAAAUCCCCGGGCUCAACCUGGGAACUGCGUUUGUGACUGCACAGCUAGAGUAUGGCAGAGGGGGGUGGAAUUCCACGUGUAGCAGUGAAAUGCGUAGAGAUGUGGAGGAACACCGAUGGCGAAGGCAGCCCCCUGGGCCAAUACUGACGCUCAUGCACGAAAGCGUGGGUAGCAAACAGGAUUAGAUACCCUGGUAGUCCACGCCCUAAACGAUGUCAACUAGGUGUUGGGGAGGGUAAAACCUUUUAGUACCGGAGCUAACGCGUGAAGUUGACCGCCUGGGGAGUACGGCCGCAAGGUUAAAACUCAAAGGAAUUGACGGGGACCCGCACAAGCGGUGGAUGAAGGUGGAUUAAUUCGAUGCC